rnacentral:rRNA from 1 species
AGUGAACGCUGGCGGCAGGCCUAACACAUGCAAGUCGAACGGCAGCACAGUAAGAGUUUGCUCUUCCCGGUGGCGAGUGGCGGGCGGGUGAGGUAUACAUCGGAAUCUAUUUUUUCGUGGGGUAUAACGUAGGGAAACUUACGAUAAUACCGCAUACGCUCUACGGGUGAAAGCAGGGGAUAUUCGCAUCUUGCGCGAUUGAAUGCGCCGAUGUCGGAUUAGCUAGUUGGGGGGGUAAAGGCCCACCAAGGCGACGAUCCGUAGCUGGUCUGAGAGGAUGAUCAGCCACACUGGAACUGAGACACGGUCCAGACUCCUACGGGAGGCAGCAGUGGGGAAUAUUGGACAAUGGGCGCAAGCCUGAUCCAGCCAUGCCGCGUGUGUGAAGAAGGCCUUCGGGUUGUAAAGCCCUUUUUUUGGGAAAGAAAAGCAGCAGGUUAAUACCCCGCUUUACUGACGGUACCCAAAGAAUAAGCACCGGCUAACUUCGUG